UCCCUUGUAGCUCAGCUGGUAGAGCGCGUGGCUGUUAACCACGUUGUCGUAGGUUCGAGUCCUACCGAGGGAGCCA
rnacentral:tRNA from 1 species